rnacentral:lncRNA from 1 species
CUGGGCCUCCUCUCUGAAUAGGAGGCCUGCUGAAUAGAAGGAACUCAAGCUGACCAGACACUUUGAAAUGCUUGUUUGAGAUACAUUAGCUACAUUGCUGUGCAGACAUAGCCUACAGAAAGCUGCUCUCUUGAGGCAGACAUGGUUAAAGCCAGAACAUACAAACUCUCCUCCUCAGUGAAGGUGGAGCAGCUUGAGGCUGAACUCUCUUUACAGCUGCAGGCGUUGAGGACUGAAAUUGAAAACAAUGAAACACAUGGAUUAUUCACAAAAUCUUACAGCUCUGUCCACAUUCCCAAGGAUGUGUCUUAUUUUCGCACAGAGAGGCAGCAAGUUCUCCAGAAAGGACUGAAGGUUGCAGGGGUGAAACCUGUAGUGUCCCAAGCUGGGGUAAUUCAGAAGGAGCUGGAGAGCUGCCUGGGCCAAGAGUACACACCUGAGAGCUUACCACUCUUACUGCACCAGUUCUUUACAGAUCGAACAUAUCAGCUUGCCCAGUUUAAAUACCAGCUUAUGUUGAGGUGGAAGAGAUUUUGUCGCCAUUCUAUUAUCUUGGAGCAGUUGUAUCCUCAGUACAAGGACCACAUGACUCACUUGACAAAGGAGUUUGAGGAUGCUAAGCACAGAGCUCAUAGGCUCGCUGUAUCCAGAGAAAGGGUUCUCACAGGCACUGGGAACCCCAUCAAUGUGGUCAUGCCAGAAGAUGUGGUCAUCUAUUUGCAGUGGCUUAUAUGCCACCUACACUCAGUUAAGACCAUUCACUGUUUCCUGCAUGUACUUCAUUAUCUUCCCAUGUGUGAGAGAAGACAGGAAGAUAAGAGCAGUUUUCCAAACUUCAGCUCACCUGCUGAAUUUUCAGGCAUGUUUGGAUCCCCAUUAAAAGUACCUUUACACGCUGUAAAAUUAGACGGAUUCCGAGCUCAACUCAAACACCUACUCUCACAUUACAAGAUUCAGUACAAUACAGAGUCCAUCAAGACUUCUGCUGAUCACUUCGAACUCUUUAGCAUGGUCAAAAAUGAGUUCAAGGCCAUCUUCCAAAGUCAAAAUGUGAUGAGUACCUUUCUACAGUGUGAAAGCACAGAGGCUGUAGACACAAAGUGGGGAAGGAGAAGUCCAAACAUGGCUCUCAGGAAGGAAUGCAACUGGAUUCCCCAUAUUCGGGUGAAACCAAAGAGAGACCCCUGGCAACAGAAACAAAUGUUCAGACUGAAAGAAAUGAGAUGUGUGGACGAAUUUCUUCAGAUGCACUCCAGAUCCUGUGAGGUUUCAGAUCUCCUGAGAGUCGGUGAAAUCUUGAUGCAGCAUGCAGCUUUUGUCUGUGAACCAAAGUCCAUGGAGUCUUUAUCUGUGACCUCAAAGCCCACUGCAAUGACUGAUUCCUUGAAUAUUUGGAGAAGUAUCUAUAACAUCCCACAUCUUUCUCAGGCAUGGGACUGUUUGAAUUCUAGAUGAAAGUAGUGUGGUUGGUUGGUUUUGGUUUAUCCAACAAAUAAAACAAAACAUGUAUUUACA